rnacentral:rRNA from 1 species
CGCGGCCUAUCAGCUUGUUGGUGGGGUAACGGCCUACCAAGGCAACGACGGGUAGCUGGUCUGAGAGGACGAUCAGCCACACUGGCACUGAGAUACGGGCCAGACUCCUACGGGAGGCAGCAGUGAGGAAUAUUGCGCAAUGGGCGAAAGCCUGACGCAGCGACGCCGCGUGGGGGAAGAAGGUUUUCGGAUUGUAAACCCCUUUUAGGAGGAAAGAUGGGGUGGGUUUCCACCCGGACGGUACCUCCAGAAAAAGCCACGGCUAACUUCGUGCCAGCAGCCGCGGUAAUACGAAGGUGGCGAGCGUUGUUCGGAUUUACUGGGCGUAAAGAGCACGUAGGCGGUUUAGUAAGCCCCUUGGGAAAGCUAUGGGCUUAACCCAUAAAGGUCGAGGGGGACUGCUAAGCUAGAGGGCGGGAGAGGAGCGCGGAAUUUCCGGUGUAGCGGUGAAAUGCGUAGAUAUCGGGAAGAAGGCCGGUGGCGAAGGCGGCGCUCUGGAACGUCUCUGACGCUGAGGUGCGAAAGCGUGGGGAGCAAACAGGAUUAGAUGCCCUGGUAGUCCACGCCGUAAACGAUGGGUACUAAGUGUCGGCAGGUUACUGCCGGUGCCGCAGUUAACGCAGUAAGUACCCCGCCUGGGGAGUACGG